UUAAGCGACUAAGCGUACACGGUGGAUGCCCUGGCAGUCAGAGGCGAUGAAGGGCGUGCUAAUCUGCGAUAAGCGCCGGUAAGGUGAUAUGAACCGUUAUAACCGGCGAUACCCGAAUGGGGAAACCCAGUGUGAUUCGUCACACUAUCAUUAACUGAAUCCAUAGGUUAAUGAGGCGAACCGGGGGAACUGAAACAUCUAAGUACCCCGAGGAAAAGAAAUCAACCGAGAUUCCCCCAGUAGCGGCGAGCGAACGGGGAGGAGCCCAGAGCCUGAAUCAGCAUGUGUGUUAGUGGAAGCGUCUGGAAAGGCGCGCGAUACAGGGUGACAGCCCCGUACACAAAAGCGCAUGUGCUGUGAGCUCGAUGAGUAGGGCGGGACACGUGGUAUCCUGUCUGAAUAUGGGGGGACCAUCCUCCAAGGCUAAAUACUCCUGACUGACCGAUAGUGAACCAGUACCGUGAGGGAAAGGCGAAAAGAACCCCGGCGAGGGGAGUGAAAAAGAACCUGAAACCGUGUACGUACAAGCAGUGGGAGCACCCUUUGGGUGUGACUGCGUACCUUUUGUAUAAUGGGUCAGCGACUUAUAUUCUGUAGCAAGGUUAACCGAAUAGGGGAGC
rnacentral:rRNA from 1 species